rnacentral:rRNA from 1 species
GACUCUCGACGAUGUAUAUUUCGAUUCUUACAUUGAUAAAAAAAAAUGUAGCAAAAUGUAAUAUUUGAUGUGAAUUACAGAAUCACCUAAAUCAUAAGUCUUUGAAUCUAAGUUGCAUCCAAAAUCAUUAAUUAGACUGAGGAUAUGUUACAAAAGUCA